UCUGUGCCCUGUGCUGGCCUGGAAUAAACUAUGGCAUCCUGUUAAGGGAUCUCUCUCCCCGCACCCGCCUCUCACACAGCAGACGUGUCUUGUUCUUUUCUUUCCUCUCCCUGGUCCAGAAAGUAGAUGAAGAAACCAAGGCACAGAGAAGCUGAGGGCCGGGAGGAGCAGCGUUGAUCCCUGGAAUUGCUGGAAUCCGGCACAGGUUCCCGGGUCCGUGCCACCCUGGGCUGAUGAUAAAACAGAAGCUUAUAGAAUUUAAGGGAUUUGGUUGAGAUCAGACUCCAUCAACUGCAGAGCUGGGACUAGACACCUUUGGAUUUCUGGUUUGCAUUCUUUUAAAUUCUCUGUUUCUUGGACUCAUCCCAAGUGAAGCUGGUAG